rnacentral:rRNA from 1 species
UACGUAGGGGGCAAGCGUUGUCCGGAAUCAUUGGGCGUAAAGAGCGUGUAGGCGGCCUGGUAAGUCCGCUGUGAAAGUCCAGGGCUCAACCCUGGAAUGCCGGUGGAAACUGUCAGGCUCGAGUCCGGAAGAGGCGAGUGGAAUUCCUGGUGUAGCGGUGAAAUGCGCAGAUAUCAGGAGGAACACCAAUGGCGAAGGCAGCUCGCUGGGACGGUACUGACGCUGAGACGCGAAAGCGUGGGGAGCAAAUAGG